GAUCUCACCUCAUACGUGACUCCCCCCUGAUUUUAACCUUAUUAAUCGGCGGAGAAAAAAAAACUAACCAGG
rnacentral:rRNA from 1 species